UAAUGACUCUCGGCGACGGAUAUCUCGGCUCACGCAUCGAUGAAGAACGUAGCAAAAUGCGAUACUUGGUGUGAAUUGCAGAAUCCCGUGAACCAUCGAGUUUUUGAACGCAAGUUGCGCCCGAAGCCAUCCGGCCGAGGGCACGCCUGCCUGGGCGUCACGCA
rnacentral:rRNA from 1 species